GCCGGGUAUUGUGGUGCAUGCCUAUAAUCCGGGCUACUCAGGAGGCUGAGGCAGGAGAAUCGCUUGAACGUGGGAGGCGGAGGUUGCAGUGAGCUGAGAUCGCACCACUGCACUCCAGCCUGGGUAACAGAGCAAGAUUCCAUCUCACAAAAAAAAAAAAAAAAAGGAGGGGGGAAGUUUUUAGCUUUUUUUUUUUUUUUUUUUUUGAGACGGAGUCUCGCUCUGUUGCCCAAGCUGGAGUGCAGUGGUGCGAUCUCGGCUCACUGCAAGCUCCGCCUCCCAGGUUCACGCCAUUCUCCUGCCUCAG
rnacentral:sRNA from 1 species